ensembl:lncRNA
CCUGUAUACAAAGAUAUUACAAAGGUAAUAAAACAUUCUGUACAAUAAAAGGUAUUUUAACAUUUUAAGAACUAUUGCAUAUUGAUACAAAUCUUAACUUUAAAUAAUUUAACAGUGAGAACUUUUAAAAAUCAUUUUCAUCAUUCCCUUUAAAUUUGUUCAUCAUUAAGAAGCAUAAAAAAAUUGGAUUUUCUAUUCUAUUGGAAUCUGUAUUCAUUGUGCCAUGUAUUUGUACACUGAGCCACAACCUUGCCCGCUUUUUUAUUUUGAGACAGUUUCUAAGUUGCUGUUUUCCUCCCUGAGCUUCCCAGAGUGCUGAGACUACAAGUGUAUGGCACCACAUUCAACCUAAAUGCAGUGGUUACCUUAAAAGAAAAAACACAUUUUUGGGCCGGGAAUUUAGCUCAGUGGCACCGCAUCUGCCUGGCAAGAACAAGGUCCUGAGUUCGAUUCCUGAUACUGAAAAAAAUACAUUAAAAAAUACAUUUUUAUCUUGUUUGUUAAAAGGGAUAGUGGGACCAUGAGUGGUUUUUUUUGCAUGCAUGAAAAAAUGUAGAUAUGGUUACUUUUGAGAUUUGAUCUUAUCCACUAUUAAAGUGUUUGCUUUAAAUUUUAUGAUACAUUAGUUAAAAUACUCAUUUGACUAAGUCUAAAGAGGUACAAGCAACCCAUACAUUUAUCCCUGACUACUUAUUCCUGGGCUUAUGAUAAGUAGCAUAAAAUUUUCUAUAUUUGUGGUAUGAAAAAAAUUCUAAUUUUCCCCUUUCAUAUUCAACCUCAGGAAAAAAUCAGAAACCUUUCAGUGGAAACUUCAUUAGAAUCAAAGUACCCCUAAUUCAUAAUCAACUCUGGCACAGAGAUUAGGAUCACAGAAUUUCAAAAGUAAAUUCAAUAAUUGGCAUUAUCUUCAAUAGGAAAGAAUUCUGCAAAGAAUAAGGCCAAAAGAAGGUUCUCCAGAUUUGGGCAAUAGCUAGUCAAUCUAAAGAGAAACCCACUUCAGGCUCUUACCAAACCAUCUAAUCCACAGUGAUUUUUCUCUCCUGGGAUUAGAUAAUCAGGGGUGUCUGGAUUAGAGAUUAAUCAGAGCGAAGUGACAUACACAAAUGUUGGUUUAUUAUAUUUUACACUAUGAAAUUUACAGUGUUUCUUCUUAGACAUUAUUUAGUACAAAACAAACUAUGAGGUAGGAAGGUUGGGUAUUAUCUGACUAAAAAUAGUCCCCAUUCUCUUUUGUUUCUCCAUGCUGUUUAACAAACAAUAUGUGGUAAUCUUUCAAUAAAUCAAUCUCUGAUAAAAAAUUAUGUGCUACUAGGCAACCUGGAUUACCAAUUCUAAGUCUCAGCAUGGACAAUAGAAUUAGUUUUCCUGAAGGAUUAGGUUAAAAAUUGACAACCUAGCCAUUUCUGUACAUAAAGAUCAUGACUAGACAGACCCAGUUACCAAUUUAAAAGGCCACUUUAAGAUAGCAGGUUCUGAUGAUAGAAAUCAGAACAGUGCUUCAGAGGUACAGAUUGGGCAAUGGUCUGAGGGAAAUUUCUAGGAUAAUUAUUACAUGAAUAUUUACAUACAUAAAAAUUCUUCAAGCUAUACACUUAAAAUAGGUCUACUUUAAGCAGUGGACUUUACAUGUGUUAUUCCUCAAAAAGGACAUCUUUGAGAGCAAGAGUUUAAUCUCAUUCACCUGUAUCAUUUCCUGCUUUGGACAUUAGACAUUCAAAAAACGUGAUACAUGUUUUAUCAUACAAAUACUGGAGCAUCUGUACAGAGGUAAGGUUAUCAAGGAAGUGCAUGAGGGAUACUUAAGAUUAAACCUGCUACAUAUAGAGGAGAGCUAGCUAUGUCAAAGGUAUGAAAUAAUCCUAAUAACUAGAAUUUAUACCUAAAACAUGGCACUACCAUUUUCAAUAGAG